rnacentral:rRNA from 1 species
UACGGGGGGGGCAAGCGUUGUUCGGAAUUACUGGGCGUAAAGGGCUCGUAGGCGGCCAACUAAGUCAGACGUGAAAUCCCUAGGCUCAACCUAGGAACUGCGUCUGAUACUGGAUGGCUUGAAUCCGGGAGAGGGAUGCAGAAUUCCAGGUGUAGCGGUGGAAUGCGCAGAUAUCAGGAGGAACACCUAUAGCGAAGGCAGCUUGCUGGGACGAUACUGACGCUAAGGCUCGAAAGCGUGGGGAGCGAACAGG